ensembl:rRNA 5S_rRNA 5S ribosomal RNA
GUCUACGGCCAUACCACCCUGAACAAGCCCGAUGUUGUCUGAUCUCGAUAGCUAAGCAGGGUCGGGCCUGGAUAGUACUUGGAUGGGAGAAAAUUCACAAAUAAGGACAUUUCUAAACA